rnacentral:rRNA from 1 species
GAUGAACGCUGGCGGCGUGCUUAACACAUGCAAGUCGAACGGAAAGGCCCAAGCUUGCUUGGGUACUCGAGUGGCGAACGGGUGAGUAACACGUGGGUGAUCUGCCCUGCACUUCGGGAUAAGCUCGGGAAACUGGGUCUAAUACCGGAUAGGACGAUGGUUUGGAUGCCAUGGUGGAAAGUUUUUUCGGUGUGGGAGGAGCUCGCGGCGUAUAAGCGUGUUGGUGUGGGGAUGUCCUACAACGACGCCGACGGGGAGCCGGCCUGUGAGGGUGUGCAGGGACAUAUGGACUGAGAUACGGCCCAGACACCCACGGGGGGGAGAAGAGGGGAAUAUAGUGCAAUGUGGGCAAGCCGGAGGCGGCGACGCGGCGUGGGGGAGGACGGCCUCCGGGUUUUAAACUCCGUUCGCGAGUGACGAGGCGUGUGUGUGACGGUAACGGGAGAAGAAGCACCGGCUAACUACGUG